rnacentral:rRNA from 1 species
AGGGCGUAUAGUCGGCAGUGGCAGACGCGAAACCAAGUGAUCUACCCUUGGCCAGGUUGAAGGCUGGGUAACACCAGCUGGAGGACCGCACCAAUAAGCGUUGAAAAGCUUCUGGAUGAGCUGAGGGUAGGGGUGAAAGGCUAAUCAAACUUGGAGAUAGCUCGUACUCCCCGAAAUGCAUUUAGGUGCAGCCUUGCGGGUUACUGAUGUGAGGUAGAGCGACUGAUAAGAUGCGAGGGCUUCACCGCCUAUCAAGUCUUGACAAACUCCGAAUGCGCAUCAGUUCUACCGCAGGAGUGAGGGCAUGGGUGCUAAGGUCCGUGCCCGAGAGGAGAAGAAUCCGGACCACCUGCUAAGGUCCCGAAAUGACAGCUAAGUUAAACUAACGAAGUCUGACUGCUAAGACAGCUAGGAUGUUGGCUUGGAAGCAGCCAUUCAUUUAAAGAGUGCGUAACAGCUCACUAGUCGAGGAGUCGGGCGUGGAUAAUAAUCGGGUAUCAAGUUGUCUACCGAAGCAGUGGGAUCAUUAAUAUGAUCGGUAGGGGAGCAUUCCAGUCAGCGUCGAAGGCGUACCGUGAGGUAUUCUGGAGCGUCUGGAAAAGCAAAUGUAGGUAUAAGUAACGAUAAAGGGGGCGGGAAACCCCCUCGCCGAAAGACUAAGGUUUCCUGAUCAACGCUAAUCGGAUCAGGGUCAGUCGGGUCCUAAGGCUCAGCCGAACGGCGAUGCCGAUGGCAGAAACGGUUAAUAUUCCGUUACUACCUUCAGGAGUGACGUGGAGACGCAGUAGUGACAGUGCCGCCAUCUGACGGAAUAGAUGGUUGAAGGGUGUAGGAGUCGAUCAUGGCAGGCAAAUCCACCAUGAGAUCCGAACCUGACAGUAUGCCGCGUCCUUCGGGACAAGGCAAUAGUGCGCGUAAGCAUGCUGCCGAGAAAAUCCGCUAAACUUAAUCCUGUAGGUACCCGUACCGCAAACGGACACACGUAGUCGGGAUGAAUAUUCUAAGGCGCUUGAGUGAUUCACGGUUAAGGAACUAGGCAAACUGACCCUGUAACUUCGGGAUAAAGGGUCCCUACCCUUUUAUGGGAGGGCGCAGAGAAUCGGUCCAGGCAACUGUUUAACAAAAACACAGGGCUGUGCCAAAUCGAAAGAUCCAGUAUACAGCCUGACACCUGCCCGGUGCUGGAAGGUUAAGAGGAGAUGUCAUCGAUAAGAGAAGCGUUGAAUUGAAGCCCCAGUAAACGGCGGCCGUAACUAUAACGGUCCUAAGGUAGCGAAAUUCCUUGUCGGGUAAGUUCCGACCUGCACGAAUGGUGUAAUGAUCUGGACGCUGUCUCAACCGUGAGCUCAGUGAAAUUGUAGUAUCGGUGAAGAUGCCGAUUACCCGCGAUGGGACGAAAAGACCCCGUGAACCUUUACUAUAGCUUAUCAUUGAAUCUGGGCACGUGAUGUGUAGGAUAGGUCGGAGGCUUUGAAGCAGGUACGCCAGUAUUUGUGGAGCCGCUGUUGAAAUACGACCCUUUAUUUGUUUGGAUUCUAACCCGUGGAACGGGGACAUUGAUUGGUGGGUAGUUUGACUGGGGUGGUCGCCUCCAAAAGCGUAACGGAGGCUUCUAAAGGUGCCCUCCGGCCGAUUGGUAACCGGCCUUAGAGUGUAAUGGCAUAAGGGCGCUUGACUGGGAGACUGACAAGUCGAUCAGGUAGGAAACUAGAGCAUAGUGAUCCGGUGUUUCCGUAUGGAAGGGACAUCGCUCAAAGGAUAAAAGGUACUCCGGGGAUAACAGGCUGAUCCCUCCCAAGAGCUCAUAUCGACGGAGUGGUUUGGCACCUCGAUGUCGGCUCGUCACAUCCUGGGGCUGGAGAAGGUCCCAAGGGUUGGGCUGUUCGCCCAUUAAAGUGGCACGCGAGCUGGGUUCAGAACGUCGUGAGACAGUUCGGUCUCUAUCUAUCGUGGGCGCAUGAAAUUUGCGUGGCUCUGACACUAGUACGAGAGGACCGUGUUGGACAGACCUCUGGUUUGCCGGUUGUGCCGCCAGGUGCAUUGCCGGGUAUCUAAGUCUGGAUCGGAUAAGUGCUGAAAGCAUCUAAGUACGAAGCCGGCCACAAGAUUAGAUUUCUCAGGGUCGUUGUAGACUACGACGUUGAUAGGAUGCAGGUGUAAAGAUGGAGACAUCAAAGCCGAGCAUUACUAAUUGCCCGUCCACUUUCCUUA